UAAUACGAAGGUGGCAAGCGUUGUUCGGAAUCAUUGGGCUUAAAGAGCAUGUAGGCGGCCCAGCAAGCGUCCUGUGAAAUCCCUCGGCUCAACCGAGGAAUUGCGUGGCGAACUGCUGGGCUUGAGGCAGGUAGGGGCGUGUGGAACUCUUGGUGGAGCGGUGGAAUGCGUAGAUAUCAAGAGGAACGCCGGUGGCGAAGGCGACACGCUGGGCCUGUCCUGACGCUGAGAUGCGAAAGCUAGGGUAGCGAACGGGAUUAGAUACCCCGGUAGUCCUGGCCCUAAACGAUGUCAACUAGGUCGGAGGUUCUCUGACGGGUUUCCGGCCGAAACGAAAGCGUUAAGUUGACCGCCUGGGGAGUACGGUCGCAAGGCUA
rnacentral:rRNA from 1 species